UUGGCUGUUUAUAUCCCAGUAAAUACGUCUGUGCGACACAGACCAUUCUGCUCUUAAACAUGGUAGAGGAGACCUGUGUUCACUGACACAGGAAGGUAGUCAUGACUCAUGGCUGAGUGAGAAAGGCAUAUAUGAAAACAUCAGGUAAGAACAGUGUCGUUUUUUAUAAAACAAAGUAUUUUAAUUGUUUGUACAGAUAUAAAAUUGUAGAAGAGAGAUCAUCAAAUUCUUUGCAGGAACACAUCUUGAUGGAAAGAGUUGAGGAGAAUUGCUUUGGUGUGCGGGCCUGUGUGUGUGUGUGAGUUGGGGAGAAUUGCUUUGAUUGUGUGUCUGUGUGAGUGUGUCUGUGUGAGUGUGGUGUUGCUUUUCAGUAUUAUUCAACUCAUAAAAAUGUCUAUUUAUUUUAUAAUGAAGAAAUAGUUAUCACUUUGAAAAUAUAAUCCAUGAUUCUGUUUUAAAACCAUAUAUAUAUAUAUAUGUCCGUGUUGUAACAUUUUUUAAAAAGACCGUCUGCAGAGCAAGAUGCUACAGUGAUAAUCUCAGCACGAGGAAAUCACAGUUUUUUUGUGUGUGUUUAACUCUAUAUUCUCCAUUUUUGCAGUGGAAAUGCAUUAUGUUUGUAAUCAUGAAAGAAUGCAUUUACUGGGUGAAGAGGAAGGUCCCUGACUGAGAAGACAGUGUGGGCCCACGCAUCUGACCACGUGAUUGGUGUCACGUGCUUGACCAGCCGUUUCUCAGCUUUCCCCCUCCAAUUGCAGGGCUGCUGAGCACAAGCCCCAGGUGAGGUCAUGCUGAAAGCCACAGGCAGCCUCUCAUCAGAUGGCACAUUGACAUAAAUGCAGUAUCACUUCAGGGCUAUGAGGCUUCAGAGGAGGGGAAGGGGUGAACUGGAAAAUCAAGAGGGGCUUCCUGGAGGAGGCAGGAAUCAACUGCAUCAGCUACAGCUGGGCAGAACAUAGAGAGCAUCUUUAGUAAAACAUGCACCUGGACUCUAGGGAAGAGCAGAGGAGGGCCCGGGCAGUGUGGCCCCUGCAAGAUGAGGCCAGGAGACUGGAGGGCCAGGCUGGGAGAGGGCAGAUCCCUUUGCCGUGAGCACAGGGGUUGUGCGGCCAGUUCUUAGUGAUGUUUCGGACGGUAACCAGUCACGGGACAGCAGGACGUGGUGGUCUUCUGACCUCUGCCACAGGCAACACAGUGGGGCCAGCCCCUGGCCACAUGUGAUGGAGUCUUCACAAGUGCCCAGCACCUACUGCCCUGGGCCAGGCUGACUUUCACGUCAGCUCCUUGGACCAGGAAGCAUCUGAGAGGCCCUGCAGACCCGGCUGAGGAGGCAGGCCGUAAGCAGGCCCAGGUCCCAAGUGUGGGCUCGCUCCACGUGGAGCGGUCUCCAAGGCCAGGCCUGCAGUGCCUGUUUCCUGCACCCUGAGGACCUGGAGAACAGAGGACGGAUGGACACAGCAGCCAGGCGGAGCAGGCCUGAGCCCGGCUCGAGGGAAGCUUGGCUUCUCGUCUGGCAUCCCCGUGUUUUACAUAAUUAGUUUUGUUUUCUAGUAUGCUAUCAACAGAUGGAAACUACAUAUCUGUUAUGGACCGCCUCAAUGUUUAAAUGUGUGUGAUAAAAAUGUUUAAGCAAUUGAAAGGAGCGUGGGUGUGGUGGGCAGAAUUAUUAAAUACCAACAGCAACAACAAAUCCUCGGGUCGGCCUGGCCAGACCAGCGUUUCUCGGCUCAGGUAAGUCGUUUAAAGUCAGACACGUCUCAUACUGGACUUUUUACAGGAAUGGCGAAAUUUAUAAUGAAAUUCAACAAGGAAACUGGAAAAACAGCCAAAUUGGUGCAGCAAAGUGGUUAAUAGGAUCAUUAGCCUACUCGCUGUAUUUUUUUGGACACUGUGUGCCUGUACCGCAGCACUAGAGAGCAGAUUGCAAGAACAGGCUGACAGUUAGGAGCUAGCUCAGCAGUGCUGGGUACAAACUGCCAUCUUCCUGUGGAUUUACAGCUGCCACUUCUGCUACUUCAAUUAGUUCUAUGGCACACAGAUGUUGCUUAAAUGUUGCUGCUAAUGAUACUGCAAUAAGCGUAAGAUUCAUGCCAUAUUUUGAGGCACGUAAAUUUCUCAAGUGGCACAAUUAAAGUGGAAAUAUUAGGUGGUGAGAACUUGGCAGUCUCUCCAACUUGGAAGGCGCACCCGCUAUGCAAUAAUGGGUCAAAAAUUCAUUCAAGUUUUACUGCUGUUCCGAGUUUUAAAAGACUUUUCACAGUUGAAUGCAAAGUAGUAAAAAACAGGGUAUUAGGAAAUGAGAAUGCAGUUCUGUUAUUCAGACAUGACUUUUAAUUUCAAAUUGAAAUCACAUGCUCACUUUUCUGGAUGUGACCGAAGGGAAAAGGUACAGGCUGAAGAGAUUUUGUCUUUAAGGGUAAAAGUCCUGAGUGGAAAUGAAUUUAUGGCCAGGCCAGCCUCAAAAUCAGUGCUGCCUAAGACUGAGGAAGUGUGGCGAUCACCUCCCAUGCAGAGAAGCAGCCCUGUUCGUGCCAGAGGCCAAGUUCAUGAGCAGCUCUCUCUCCAUCCACCCCCAGACAAGGUCCCAAACCAGGCAUGGGGAAGUGUGUUGGAAC